UGGGCAGCAUUUAUGUCUAUGAUAAGAAUUAAAGAACAUAGCAUAUUUUACCUCUAUUUGUGGUUGUUGUUGAAACAAGUGUUUAUAACCUGCAGCGAAUAUUAGAAAAGUAAUUAAUUUAUUCAUAUUUUAAGGAGAGCUGCUGGAAGCCAAGAAAUGAAAAGAGAAUGGGGAAAUCCAGACAGAUUUAUGUAUAUAUUAAGGGUUUAUCUUGGAGGUUGAAAUCACAAUUCAAGAGAAAAUUCUUCAUGGGACAUUCUAAAGGAAAGUAUUGAUAACUAAUGUACCCACCAGAACCUCUUCUCACGUAAAAAUUGCCGCUGUCCCCAGCAAAUUCCGUCAAUCGUUUUACAAAUGCUAGCUUAUUAAAGAUAUACCAAAAAGUAGGUAACUAGGGCUAAAUCUGAGACCAUGAUGUUUCAGAGUUUUAGAAUAUUAUUGUGAAUACACAGGAGAAAACAAAUUUAAAUUUUGUAAUCACAUUUGAAAAGUCAGAGUAUCACUUUGAGGGUGGCAUUGAGAUUUAUGGCCAGAAGUCAAGUUCAGCUUUAAGUUUAAUGCCAUUCAGCCUGUAUCUGUGUCCCUGCAGCUAGGGUAGCUAGCUAGGUUCCUGUUUCUUCUUGGACAAUCAUCUCUAUCAUAGUCAUUUAUUUCUAUUUUUAAAUAUAGCUUGGUACAUGGGUUUAUCUUAAAAGUACAACACAUACUCAGUUUCCAACUAUUUCAAGAUGAAGUUCAUAACUAAAUCACAGUAAGGUAUACUUUUCCUAGAAUAUUUUGCAUUGCCCAAAGCCUUUCCCUUUAACAUGGUACAAUGAAACCUAGGAUGUGAGCUUUUAUGUAGUAGCUGAUUUGCAUAAUAUAAGUAUGCACACAUACAUAUAUGUAAAUGCACAUAUGUGAGUUUUCUGAAGUGUGGUUUUCUAUUUCAACUUGCUUCUUAUUAGAAUGAUUUUUUUAAGUGACUAAAUAUGCUUUAGAUUCAUUUGUUUUUUCAAUAAAAUUGACAUAGUAACUCA